UACGAGGGGGCGAGCGUUGUUCGGAAUUAUUGGGCGUAAAGGGUGCGUAGGCGGUUCCGCAAGUCCUGUGUGAAAUCUUCGGGCUCAACUCGAAGUCUGCACGGGAAACUGCGGGCUUGAGUGUGGGAGAGGUGAGUGGAAUUUACGGUGUAGCAGUGAAAUGCGUAGAUAUCGUAAGGAAGACCAGUGGCGAAGGCGAAUCUCUGGACCAGUUUACUGA
rnacentral:rRNA from 1 species